rnacentral:rRNA from 1 species
UACGUAGGGUGCAAGCGUUAAUCGGAAUUACUGGGCGUAAAGCGUGCGCAGGCGGUGAUGUAAGACAGGUGUGAAAUCCCCGGGCUUAACCUGGGAACUGCAUUGUGACUGCAUCGCUGGAGUGCGGCAGAGGGGGAUGGAAUUCCGCGUGUAGCAGUGAAAUGCGUAGAUAUGCGGAGGAACACCGAUGGCGAAGGCAAUCCCCUGGGCCUGCACUGGACGCUCAUGCACGAAAGCGUGGGGAGCAAACCAGGG